GCUCUGUAUGCCUAGAGGUCAGAUGAAGCGAUACAUUCACCGCAUAUCAAUGAUGAUGAGCCAGAAAGGAAUGAAAUAUGACUAUUCAAGUCCUUAGGUUCGUAGUUGGCACAUCCUAUAGAUACGCAAAAGAGUACAUGCGUCCUUGUAGGAUUUAGUCCGAAGGUUUGAGUCAGUACGGUGAAGCGUUGAAGGGAUCGGAUGGAAAAGGAGCUUAAAAUCAGGGAUUUUUAAGCUCCGUAAUGUGGCACGAUGAAAAGGAAAAUAGAAGAACUGACGAUAAAAACAGCAACUAAUGAAAUGGCGAGAGAUGGGCCAAGGGUUAUCUUAUGAAUACACUCUUGAUGAAUGUGCAUAUGUCAUACAAUUAAUGUGGACAUGAGCCAUAGCUCAGUUCACUGAUUACAGAUGUGUUGCAUCCCACCUGCCCGGGUUUGAUCCUGGAUCGAGCAGUGAGUGCCUCAUUUUUCUCCUCAAAGUGCAAGUUAGAACUCUUAGGGCCUGUUCUGAACCUCUCCAGCUUCUGACUCCACAAAAUUCGAGUGUGAAGCCGGCCCGAACGCCUAAGCUCCGUGAAGCUAGAUUCACGAAGCUCAGCCCAAUCGCGGUGUAAAAACAUGAAGCUCCAAAAGCCCAGCUCCACGAAAGCCAGAAUCAGGAAUUGCCCAAUAUUACAACCACACUGCCACCGCCAAAGAAAACAUUUGGAGCCACACGUGAAGAAAAUCUAAUCAUGUUUUGAAACUAGAUGUGUUUUCUGCCAUGACCCCCACGGAGAGGUACUUCUCUGUUUGUCAAAGAGCAGAAAGGUAAGUUAGAAAAUUUUGGCAAUAUAAUUAUCUAUGUUGCACGGAUACUUCAGAAAGUGCGCGUAUCCAGUCGGAUACUGCCCGAUACGUAUCCCAUAAGUAUCCUGUGAUUUAUUGAUUUAAAAAAAUAGUGUUUGAUACGUCUGGGAUACGUUUUGGAUACGGCAACCCCUUCGUUCGACGUGUAAAACUGAAAACUCCUCGAUCCCUUCCUGGCGCCGCCGCACGUCAUCAAUUCCCAGCUGGCCAGCUCGUCCCCUCGACUCCUUGGAGCAGGCGACCGCAGCCCGCAGGUCUCCAACUCUCCAUAAAUUCUCAGCUCCAGUCCUCUUCUCUCCCACAUGUUCUUCUCUCCUUCUCACCUUCCGAAUUCCAAUCCAAUCGAUGCUGAUAGGUCGCCGGCUCGUCGCCGGCAGAAGACAUCCAUGUCUCCCCUGCAGGAGGUAUGUUCUCAUCUCCCUCUCUUCCUCUGAUCUCUCUUCUCCAUCUCCUUCUCUGAAUUCUGUACGCAGGUGUUUUAGGUUUAGAUUUUAAGAUUAGAUCAGUUUUACUAAUCUGUUUUCCUAAUCUCCUCCUUUUACCAUGCAGAUCGGCCAUGUCUAGUAGGUCUUCUUCAGUUAGAAGUGAAGCAGGCAGUGGAGGUAGCGUGGAUUCUUCUCUGCGGUCAAUGAUGUCUUAAUUUUUCGUUGGGUAAAGAGUAGCACUCCGCUGCAUUGCUUGGCUCACUCGCCCAAUCCCAAGUAAGUUAAUUGAAUUGAAUUGAAUUGCUUGCUGAUUGUUAUGUUUUCUAAUCUGAUUGUUGUUUUCUCCUAAGGUACUACACUCCAGCGUGGAUUAGUGCAGUUCCAGGCCAUCAAGCUCCACACAUGGAUCAAGGGAUUUCAGAUGAAAGAAAUGCAUGCUUUAGAAGAUUCUUUCCUCAUGGGGGCCCAGAAAUGAACGAACUGAAACAACAGAUUGCCAACUUCAGUCUCAUGGGUCCUGGAUUUAAAUGGUUUCGACUCCAUUGAAGAUAGAUCUUUGCUAGAGCCGAAGCAGUGGUGGGGGAUUCAUGGAAAUUCUGCCCCGGCUUUGAGGACCAUUGCUCUGAAAUUACUUGGGCAGUCAACCUCCUCUUCUUGUUCUAAAAGGAACUGGAGUACAUAUGGCAUGAUACGCAAUACAUUGAGGAACAGGCUCAACCCUGCACAUGCUGAAGAUUUAGUUUUUGUGCAUAAAAACUUGCGCCUUAUUUCAAGGAAAUAACCAGAGUAUAUAUCUGGCCCAUCCAGAUUUUGGGACAUUGGAGGAGAUAGAUAUGAGUUGUUGUGGUGCCGACUUCCUGCAGCAAGCUGAACUAUCACUAGAUGAGCCUGAACUGGAGGAGUUACUGAAUGAAAUUGAAGCAUUGGAUGUGGAUUAGUGAGGUGGAUGACCGAGCCUUAUUGAUUUGUGAACUGGUUGUGAUGUGAACUCCUGUUUUAUUUGUGAGAACCCGAACCUAAAUUAUGAUAUUUAUAUAUCUAUGCAACCAUGUACGUGUGAAUUUGAUGUGCGAAUUGUGAAUGUGACUACCUUAUUUGUUAAGCAAUUAUGUCGAACCAUCGACAUCGUGCAUCCGAA